rnacentral:lncRNA from 1 species
UUUAUUAUUAUACUUUAAGUUUUAGGGUACAUGUGCACAAUGUGCAGGUUAGUUACAUAUGUAUACAUGUGCCAUGCUGGUGUGCUGCACCCACUAACUCGUCAUUUAGCAUUAGGUAUAUCUCCUAAUGCUAUCCCUCCCCCCUCCCCCCACCCCACAACAGUCCCCAGAGUGUGAUGUUCCCCUUCCUGUGUCCAUGUGUUCUC